rnacentral:rRNA from 1 species
AGCAGUCGCCGCGGUAAUACGGAGGGGGCUAGCGUUGUUCGGAAUUACUGGGCGUAAAGCGCACGUAGGCGGCUUGGUAAGUUAGAGGUGAAAGCCCGGAGCUCAACUCCGGAAUUGCCUUUAAGACUGCCGAGCUAGUAGGUGAGAGGGGUAAGUGGAAUUCCGCGUGUAGCAGUGAAAUGCGUAGAUAUGCGGAGGAACACCGAUGGCGAAGGCAGCCCCCUGGGCCAAUACUGACGCUCAUGCACGAAAGCGUGGGGAGCAAACAGGAUUAGAGACCCCGGUAGUCCCUGUCUCUUAUAC